CCUACGGGAGGCAGCAGUGAGGAAUAUUGGUCAAUGGACGAGAGCCUGAACCAGCCAAGUAGCGUGAAGGAUGACUGCCCUAUGGGUUGUAAACUUCUUUUAUAUGGGAAUAAAAUGCUCUACGUGUGGGAUUUUGUAUGUACCAUAUGAAUAAGGAUCGGCUAACUCCGUGCCAGCAGCCGCGGUAAUACGGAGGUGCCGAGCGUUAUCCGGAUUUAUUGGGUUUAAAGGGAGCGUAGGUGGAUUGUUAAGUCAGUUGUGAAAGUUUGCGGCUCAACCGUGGAAUUGCAGUUGAAACUGGCAGUCUUGAGUACGGGAGAGGUAGGCGGAAUUCGUGGUGUAGCGGUGAAAUGCUUAGAUAUCACGAAGAACUCCGAUGGCGAAGGCAGCUCGCUGGACUGCAACUGACGCUGAGGCUCGAAAGUGUGGGUAUCAAACAGGAUUAGAUACCCGAGUAGUC
rnacentral:rRNA from 1 species